rnacentral:tRNA from 1 species
GCGUAAAUUAAUUCAAUUAUAUCAGUAUGUUAGAUGUAUUUUGGUGCAAUCUUGCCAAGGUUGGGGUCGCGAGUUCGAGUCUCGUUUCCCGCUCCA